UACGUAGGUGGCAAGCGUUGUCCGGAGUUAUUGGGCGUAAAGCGCGCGCAGGCGGUGCGGUAAGUCUCUGGUGAAAGCGCUCGGCUUAACUGGGCGAGGGCCGGGGAGACUGCCACGCUGGAGGGGAGCAGAGGCGAGUGGAAUUCCGGGUGUAGUGGUGAAAUGCGUAGAGAUCCGGAGGAACACCGACGGCGCAGGCAGCGUCCUGGCCGCUUGCUGACACUGAGGCACGAAAGCUGGGGGAGCAAACAGG
rnacentral:rRNA from 1 species